rnacentral:rRNA from 1 species
UACGUAGGGAGCAAGCGUUGUCCGGAUUUACUGGGUGUAAAGGGCGCGUAGGCGGGAUAACAAGUCAGGUGUGAAAUCCGGGGGCUCAACCCUCGAACUGCACUUGAAACUGUUAUUCUUGAGUGAUGGAGAGGCAAGUGGAAUUCCUAGUGUAGCGGUGAAAUGCGUAGAUAUUAGGAGGAACACCAGUGGCGAAGGCGACUUGCUGGACAUUAACUGACGCUGAGGCGCGAAAGCGUGGGGAGCAAACAGG